GGUUAGUAGGCGGCAAUACCUUCAUCUUCAUAGUACAGAAACAGUUGCAUACUUUGAUCUCUUCAGUUUGUUUACUUGUAAGUUUGUGAAAGUAGAUGUGAACGGAUUGUGGCUGCAUAUUCAUAGGCUUUUUACGUGUUAUGAUACUAAUUUAAAGGCUUGUAAACAGAUCUUGUGAUUGUUGAGAUAGUAUGGAUAGCUGUUACAUCCUGUCUUCAGUCUUUAUGCUACAUAAUUAAGUUUGUAAGCUGUUUUUUUUUUUUUUUAAAUAUAGUAUUCCAUCUAUCAUCCAGGAAGAAUAUAACGAAGCAUAAUGAAAUUAAACUCAACUCAAUUUUUUUGUAAACCAAGAUUAAAGGAGUGGUUUUCACUGUAGUAAAACCACAGCUGUCAAUGUAUUUGGGUCGCACCUCUUAUGCACUCUUAUUAAUGUAAGUAAGUUUCGUGUUGAUAAUGACUUGCAUGUUGUGGACAUGACUUGCAGUUUCCUGUUAGUAAGAAAACACAGCUGGCAGUCUGUUAUUGCCACAUCUUUGUCCACAGCAGUUCUAGUGAGCAUCAGCUUUCUGUUCGUUUCUUUUGUCAGCCAUGGACAAAACUGUGCUGCUCCUGUUGUGCCUGCAGGUUGUUCUGCUCAUCACUGCCUUUCCUUCAGACGCAGCUGGUCAAGUCGUAGUGAGAGGUCCAGAUCAGGUAAAAAGAUCCGCAACAGCAAUCAAAAAGGUGGCAAACAGGACGGUCAACCCACCAAACCAAGAACAACAGAAGAGAAGGUGUUCCAUUAGACGUGGAGGGUGCGGCCCAAUGGGCCAGUAGUUUACCCAUCACACAUCGCUGCGGCCAGAAACUCCUUCCUGCAUUUUUCCAUUGACCUGGGUGCUUCAAUAAUCUACGCAUAUAAACUAUCACAACAACAGAUUCUCUGCAAACAUGUUGCAACAUUGCAGUUGGUGCAGAAGUCACCUCGCAUACAGACAGAUGCUAAAUUUGAACCAGCUCACUGGACUUCUCUGAGAAGUCAGAAAUUAAACACAAACAACAUUCAACCACUAAAACUAAUUUUGGAAGUAAAUAUAAGGCGGAGUAUUAGGGCCACAUUAAGAAAAUAAAAUAUUUUGAUCAAUUUGAGAAUAAAGUCAAAAUUUCACGAUUAAAAUCGAAAAUCUAUUUUGAGAAAAGCAUCAAAAUGUGGAGAUUACUUUUGUUGUUUCAAGACAAACUGCCACGUUUCUUAUACCUUUGUGUAGAUGAGUUAGCCAUUUCACAUUACACGAAUGCAACCAUCUGCACCAUCUUUUCAACAUCCUUUUACAUAUCACCAUAAUAUGUUUGUGUGCUAAAAAAGAAAUCAUUUCCUUCUUUGUUACUUAAGUCG
ensembl:lncRNA